rnacentral:rRNA from 1 species
UUUUUUGAGGAUUUGAUCCUGGUCCAGGAUGAACGCUGGCGGCGUGCCUUAGGCAUGCAAGUCGAACGGGAGCCGCAAGGCUCAAGUGGCAGACGGGUGAGUAACGCGUAGGAAUCUACCUCUGGGUGGAACAUAGCUCAUCGAAAGAUGGGGUAAUAUUCCAUAGUCUCGUAAGAGUAAAGCAUUAACUUUGCGCCGAGAGAGGAGCCUGCGUCCUAUCAGCUUGUUGGUGGGGUAAUGGCCUACCAAGGCAAUGACGGGUAGCUGGACUGAGAGGUCGAUCAGCCACAACUGCACUGAGACACGGGCAGUACACCU